UCCCAGUUGACCUGGGCAGUCUCGUAAGACAUUGUAACUUACGAUGAGGGUUGCGCUCGUUGCGGGACUUAACCCAACAUCUCACGACACGAGCUGACGACGGCCAUGCAGCACCUGUCACUGCAUUCCCGAAGGCACUCCUAGCUUUCGCUUGGAUUCGCAGGAUGUCAAACCUCGGUAAGGUUCUUCGCUUAGCGUCGAAUUAAACCACAUCCUCCACUGCUUGUGCGGGUCCCCGUCAAUUCCUUUGAGUUUUAAGCUUGCGCCCGUACUCCCCAGGCGGAUCACUUAACGCGUUAGCUGUACAACACAGAGGGUCGAAUCUCCAUACUGUUAGUGAUCAUCGUUUACGGCGUGGACUAC
rnacentral:misc_RNA from 1 species